UCCCUGUUACCAGGGCAGUCUGUCCAGAGAAAUUCAACUGGACAAAAGGGUUGCGCUCGUUAAUGGACUUAACCAAACAUCUCACGACACGAGCUGACGACGGCCAUGCAUCACCUGUCACUGGAUUCCCGAAGGCACUCUUUCCUUUCGGAAAGAUUCCCAGGAUGUCAAACCUUGGUAAGGUUCUUCGCUUAUCAUCGAAUUAAACAACACGCUCCACCGCUUGUGCGGGUCCCCGUCAAUUCCUUUAUGUUUUAAGCUUGCGCUCGUACUCCACAGGCGGGAUGCUUAACGCGUUAGCUUCGCUACUACCAGGGUCGAUACUGAUAACAGCUAGCAUCCAUCGUUUACGGCGUGGACUAC
rnacentral:misc_RNA from 1 species